rnacentral:rRNA from 1 species
GAAAGUAGAUAAGGGCGGAUGGUGGAUGCCUUGGCUCACUCAGGCGAUGAAGGACGUGAUAAGCUGCGAUAAGCGGUGGGUAGGUGCAAAUGACCGUUGAUCCUCCGAUUUCCGAAUGGGACAACCCGUCAUGCUGAAGGCAUGACAUCUGCUCAGUGCAGAGGCCAACGCGGGGAACUGAAACAUCUUAGUACCCGCAGGAAGAGAAAAUAAACAAUGAUUCCCCCAGUAGUGGCGAGCGAACGGGGAAGAGCCCAAACCUGCGUUGUGGCAACGCCUCGCAGGGGUUGUAGGACCACGUUGUGGUACGGUAACGGAGAGUGGAAUUGCCUGGAAAGGCAGACCAUAGCGGGUGAAAGUCCCUUACACGAAUCCUGCUCCGGCCUAGUGGUAUCCUGAGUAACGCGGAACACGAGGAAUUCUGCGCGAAUCCGCCGGGACCAUCCGGUAAGGCUAAAUACUCGAGUGAGACCGAUAGCGUACGAGUACUGUGAAGGAAAGGUGAAAAGCACCUCGACAAGAGGAGUGAAAUAGUUCCUGAAACCAUCCGCCUACAAGCGGUCGGAGCAUGCUUCGCAUGUGACGGCGUGCCUUUUGCAUAAUGAACCUACGAGUUACCAUCUCCGGCAAGGGUAAGGGCCAUGAGACCCGCACCCGCAGUGAAAGCGAGCCUGAAGAGGGCGUAUAGUCGGAGGGGGUAGACGCGAAACCAAGUGAUCUACACAUGUCCAGGAUGAAGUCCGGGUAACACCGGAUGGAGGUCCGCACCGAUAAGCGUUGAAAAGCUUCCGGAUGAGGUGUGUGUAGGAGUGAAAGGCCAAUCAAACUUGGAGAUAGCUCGUACUCCCCGAAAGGCAUUUAGGUGCCGCGUGCAGUGUUCAGCGUGAGAGGUAGAGCGACCGAUAGGUCGAGAGGGCUUCACCGCCUAUCGAGACCUGACGAACUCCGAAUGCUCACGUUCUGCAGCUGUGCAGUAAGGGGGCGGGUGCUAAGGUCCGUCCCCGAGAGGAGAAGAAUCCAGACCGCCGUCUAAGGUCCCGGAAUUCUGCCUGAGUUAGUCUAACGAAGUGUGGUCCCAACGACAGCCAGGAUGUUGGCUUGGAAGCAGCCAUUCAUUCAAAGAGUGCGUAACAGCUCACUGGUCGAGGGUCCGCGCAUGGAUAAUAAUCGGGUAUAAGGCAGAUACCGAAGGCGCGGGAUAGCAAUUAUAAAAGUAUCGGUAGGGGAGCAUUCCCUGUGCGUUGAAUGCGGAUGGUGAUGUCCGCUGGAGCGCAGGGAAAAGCAAAUGUAGGUAUAAGUAACGAUAAGGAGGGUGAGAUUCCCUCCCGCCAUAAGUCUAAGGUUUCCCGGGCAAUGCCCGUCAUCCCGGGGUCAGUCGGGUCCUAAGUCUCAGCCGAAGGGCGAGGGCGAUGGCAGAAACGGUUAAUAUUCCGUUACUGCCGUACGGAGCGACGUGGAGACGCAGUAGUGAAACGGCCGCGCACAGACGGAAUUGUGCGCUGAAGGGUGUAGAUUAUGAGGGUUGCAGGCAAAUCCACAAUCCGAGUCGAACCUGAUCAGUAGGGCCUCUUCUCCGGAAGGGGCCGAGCGCCGGUAAGCAUGCUGCCGAGAAAAUCCGCUAAGCUUAAUCCGUACGGCACCCGUACCGCAAACCGACACAGGUAGACGAGUAGAACAUACUAAGGCGUUGGGAGAUUCAUGGUUAAGGAACUAGGCAAACUGACCCCGUAACUUCGGGAUAAGGGGUCCUCACGUUGAGUGAGGCGCAGAGAAUAGGUCCAGGCAACUGUUUAACAAAAACACAGGGCUGUGCGAACUCGAAAGAUGACGUAUACAGCCUGACACCUGCCCGGUGCCGGAAGGUUAAGAGGAGAUGUCACUAGCAAUAGGAAGCAUUGAAUUGAAGCCCCGGUAAACGGCGGCCGUAACUAUAACGGUCCUAAGGUAGCGAAAUUCCUUGUCGGGUAAGUUC